rnacentral:rRNA from 1 species
UACGGAGGGUGCAAGCGUUGUCCGGAAUCAUUGGGCGUAAAGCGCGUGUAGGCGGUUCGGUAAGUCCGCUGUGAAAGUCGGGGGCUCAACCCUCGAAAGCCGGUGGAUACUGUCGGGCUAGAGUGCGGAAGAGGCGAGUGGAAUUCCUGGUGUAGCGGUGAAAUGCGCAGAUAUCAGGAGGAACACCAAUUGCGAAGGCAGCUCGCUGGGACGUUACUGACGCUGAGACGCGAAAGCGUGGGGAGCAAACAGG